rnacentral:lncRNA from 1 species
AUGGUGCUGCUGGCUGGGACCCAGCCACAGGGUGGCGGGGAGCGCUGCGUGACCCUGCCACCGCCGUCCCCACUCCUAGGCACACAGGUCGAGGAGGACCGCGCUGACUGCAAAGAGUUCCAGGACUUCUCCAGUCUGCCCGACACCCGCAGCAUCACCUGGGACGACUCUUUCUACACUUUCCAGGAGGAGGAGGAGCACGGCGUCCAGGGCGUGGAGAGCGUACUGGAGGAGGGCGUCCUAGAGGAGGUCGUAUUGGAGGCAUGGGGCUGCUGCACUUACCCAGGUGCACAGGGUACCUUGGGGCCAGCACAGGGCUUGUCAAGUAAUGCUCCUGGUGUCCACAAAACAGCUCCAGAGAUACCUGCAUUUUGAAAAGCCUGCCAAGCCAACAAGUAUGGGGCAGGACCCAGAUUGCUUUGGCAAAUAUGAAGGUGAGCUGGCCACUUGCCAGUGUGGACGCGAGUCUGUUGUGGGUGAAAGAGAAGCCCCUGGGGUAAGGCCAGACCCCAGGCCUGAAAAGGAUGCAAAGCCUGCUGUUUCAGGCUGUCAGGAAGAAUCGUGGGUACAAAGUGAAUAUGAUGAAAUGCAUCCCAGAGAGGAAAUGAAUGUGCCCUCACUAAGAAGUGGGUCUGGCUGCCAGGUCUCUGGCAGCCCACCGGCAAGAGGACUACAACCCCUGCAGCCCUGCCAUCCACACUACAUGAUGUGGGGAGUCUGUCUCUUCACUCUUACCCUGGGGACCCAAGCCUGCUUUGAGGAGUGAGUCACAGCCCUGAUGUGUGCCUUGCAUUACUCUUUCCCCAGGUGUGCCCGGAGACUCACGCUUGCUCAUUUCUGUCCUGACACAUCUCGCUGGUCCUGCGGUGGUCAGAGUCCUCGUGUUCUGUGUCAGCUCCUAGACAUCAUUAGUCUUUCACGUGAUAAAGUA